UGACGAGUGGCGGACGGGUGAGUAAUGUCUGGGAAACUGCCUGAUGGAGGGGGAUAACUACUGGAAACGGUGGCUAAUACCGCAUAACGUCGCAAGACCAAAGAGGGGGACCUUCGGGCCUCUUGCCAUCAGAUGUGCCCAGAUGGGAUUAGCUUGUUGGUGAGGUAACGGCUCACCAAGGCGACGAUCCCUAGCUGGUCUGAGAGGAUGACCAGCCACACUGGAACUGAGACACGGUCCAGACUCCUACGGGAGGCAGCAGUGGGGAAUAUUGCACAAUGGGCGCAAGCCUGAUGCAGCCAUGCCGCGUGUAUGAAGAAGGCCUUCGGGUUGUAAAGUACUUUCAGCGGGGAGGAAGGUGUUGCGGUUAAUAACCGCAGCAAUUGACGUUACCCGCAGAAGAAGCACCGGCUAACUCCGUGCCAGCAGCCGCGGUAAUACGGAGGGUGCAAGCGUUAAUCGGAAUUACUGGGCGUAAAGCGCACGCAGGCGGUCUGUCAAGUCGGAUGUGAAAUCCCCGGGCUCAACCUGGGAACUGCAUUCGAAACUGGCAGGCUUGAGUCUUGUAGAGGGGGGUAGAAUUCCAGG
rnacentral:rRNA from 1 species